rnacentral:rRNA from 1 species
UACGUAGGUGGCAAGCGUUUGUCCGGAUUUACUGGGCGUAAAGAGCGCGCAGGCGGUCGUUCAAGUCGCGUGUGAAAGCCCCCGGCUCAACUGGGGAGGGUCACGCGAUACUGAUCGACUCGAAGGCAGGAGAGGGAAGUGGAAUUCCCGGUGUAGUGGUGAAAUGCGUAGAUAUCGGGGAGGAACACCAGUGGCGAAGGCGACUUCCUGGCCUGUUCUUGACGCUGAGGCGCGAAAGCUAGGGGAGCAAACGGGGAU